AAGCAAAUUGGACCAAAUAGCUGCUGCAGCUUAGGACUUCCUCAGUAGGAACUCAUCUAGCAACAUCUCGAGGUAGAGGACGAGGUAAGGGCAAGGGCAAACUGGCGAGCGACUCGAAGUGAGACCGUGAAGGGCCAUAGGGACUACCGCUUCCGCUUAUCUUUAUUUCAGAUUUUCGCACUUGAGUUCGAGUACUUUCAUUAUUUACCAUCUUUAUGUAGAUAGGGCCCGCUUAGGGAUUUUAAACUUAACUCGUAUUUCUACAUGUUACUUUAACUAUCUUUCAUAAAUAAAUUUGCUAGAUUUCUUUGCAUUUA